rnacentral:lncRNA from 1 species
UUGUUCAAAGAGAAUGACACAGAAUAAUAGAUAAGAUUCAAAAUUUUUUUACCAUGAGAGUUGUGAGCACUGUUUGGGAGCUUUUUGAGUUUUGCUUAACUCCUGUUGUUUGCCUCAGUUUGGGUUUGUUUUUAGCUUCGGAUUAGUCUAAUUUUUACUUCAGAUUUGCAUGCUUGAACCUUAGAUUUGCAUGUUUUACCUCGGAUC